rnacentral:rRNA from 1 species
UACGGAGGGUGCAAGCAUUGAUCGGAAUUACUGGGCGUAAAGGGCGCGUAGGCGGCUUAGAAAGUCAGAUGUGAAAUACCGGGGCUCAACCCCGGUGCUGCAUUUGAAACUCCUAAGCUAGAGGGUGGUUAGGGAAAACGGAAUUCCACGUGUAGCGGUGAAAUGCGUAGAUAUGUGGAAGAACACCGGUGGUGAAGACGGUUUUCUGGGCCAAUCCUGACGCUGAGGCGCGAAAGCUAGGGGAGCAAACAGG